AGUAACGCGUAGGUAAUCUACCCUUAUAUUUGGGAUAACAUUGGGAAACUGGUGCUAAUACCGAAUGGUCUUAUUUUAAUGCGAGUUAAAUUGAGUAAAGGUGGCUUCUGUAUAUGCUACCGUAUAGGGAUGAGCCUGCGUACCAUUAGCUAGUAGGUGGGGUAACGGCCCACCUAGGCAACGAUGGUUAGCGGGUCUGAGAGGAUGAUCCGCCACACUGGAACUGGAACACGGACCAG
rnacentral:rRNA from 1 species